rnacentral:rRNA from 1 species
GUGGGGGAUAAUCAUUGGAAACGAUGGCUAAUACCGCAUAAUGCUACGGGCCAAAGAGGGGGACGUUAGGGCCUCUCGCGUCAGGAUAUGCCUAGGUGGGAUUAGCUAGUUGGUGAGGUAAGGGCUCACCAAGGAGACGAUCCCUAGCUGGUCUGAGAGGAUGAUCAGCCACACUGGAACUGAGACACGGUCCAGACUCCUACGGGAGGCAGCAGUGGGGAAUAUUGCACAAUGGGCGCAAGCCUGAUGCAGCCAUGCCGCGUGUGUGAAGAAGGCCUUCGGGUUGUAAAGCACUUUCAGUCGUGAGGAAGGUGGUGUAGUUAAUAGCCGCAUUAUUUGACGUUAGCGACAGAAGAAGCACCGGCUAAUUCCGUGCCAGCAGCCGCGGUAAUACGGAGGGUGCGAGCGUUAAUUGGAAUUACUGGGCGUAAAGCGCAUGCAGGUGGUUUGUUAAGUCAGAUGUGAAAGCCCGGGGCUCAACCUCGGAAUAGCAUUUGAAACUGGCAGACUAGAGUACUGUAGAGGGGGGUAGAAUUUCAGGUGUAGCGGUGAAAUGCGUAGAGAUCUGAAGGAAUACCGGUGGCGAAGGUAUCCCCCUGGACAAAUAACGACAUUCAGAAGG